rnacentral:rRNA from 1 species
GACGAACGCUGGCAGCGUGCCUAAUACAUGCAAGUCGAGCGAACAGACGAGGAGCUUGCUCCUCUGACGAUAGCCGCGGAGGGGCGAGUAACACGUGGAUAACCUACUUAUCUGACUGGGAUAACUUCGGAACUCCGGAGCUAAUAACGUAUAAUAUAUUGAUCCUCAUUGUUGAAUAGUGAAAGACGGUUAUGCUGUCUCUUAUCGCUGCAUCCGCGCCGCAUGAGCUAGUUGGUAAGGUAACGGCUUACCAAGGGAACGAUGCGUAGCCGACCGGAGAGGGGGAUCGGCCACACUGGAAGGGGACCAGGGUCCAGACUCCUACGGGAGGCAGCAGAAGGGAAUCUUCGGCAGUGGGGGAAAGCUUGCCGGAGAAAGGCGGGGGGGGGGAUAAAGGUCUUCGGAUCGUAAGACUCUGUUUUUAGGGAGAAACAGAUGUGUAAGUAAAUAUGCACGUCUUGACGGUACCUAAUCAGAAAGCCACGGCUAACUACGUG